UACAGAGGGGGCAAGCGUUGUUCGGAAUUACUGGGCGUAAAGGGCGCGUAGGUGGCCUUCUAAGUUGAACGUGAAAUCCCUGGGCUCAACCCAGGAACUGCGUCCAAGACUGGGAGGCUUGAAUCCGGGAGAGGGAUGCGGAAUUCCCAGUGUAGCGGUGAAAUGCGUAGAUAUUGGGAGGAACACCAGUGGCGAAGGCGGCUCACUGGACCGGUACUGACGCUGAGGCACGAAAGCCAGGGGAGCAAACGGG
rnacentral:rRNA from 1 species